UACGAGGGGAGCAAGCGUUGUUCGGAUUUACUGGGCGUAAAGGGCGCGUAGGCGGUCAGCACAAGUCAGUUGUGAAAUCUCCGGGCUUAACCCGGAAAGGUCAACUGAUACUGUGCGACUAGAGUGCAGAAGGGGCAACUGGAAUUCUCGGUGUAGCGGUGAAAUGCGUAGAUAUCGAGAGGAACACCUGCGGCGAAGGCGGGUUGCUGGGCUGACACUGACGCUGAUGCGCGAAAGCCAGGGGAGCGAACGGGG
rnacentral:rRNA from 1 species